UACGUAGGGGGCAAGCGUUGUCCGGAUUUAUUGGGCGUAAAGAGCUCGUAGGUGGUUCGGUAAGUCGGAUGUGAAAUCUCCAGGCUCAACCUGGAGGGGUCAUUCGAUACUGCCGUGACUAGAGUUCGGUAGGGGAGUGUGGAAUUCCUGGUGGAGCGGUGAAAUGCGCAGAUAUCAGGAGGAACACCCGUAGCGAAGGCGGCACUCUGGGCCGAUACUGACACUGGGGAGCGAAAGCGUGGGGAGCGAACAGG
rnacentral:rRNA from 1 species